AUCCAUAAAUACUCUCGGUGUUGCGAGCAUUUCUACCGUAACGAUCCGCGAUCAAAAAAUAAGGUUCAUACAACCAUAAGAAAAGAAAAGAUUUACCCGAAGUGUGGUACAUUCCGUUCCCUCGAGCUUGAUCGUUUGACACGAGACUAGAGCCGCGAGACUAUCAUUUUUACGGGCCUGAACCGAAAACGCAGAAAGAAACGCGAACAAUAGCGGUAACAACCAGUAGCAACAGCAACAGGUCGCUGUGACGCGAGGCGUUGUACGAUUGGCGGAAUGACUUUCGAGUAUGAAAUUCACACAAAUCGGAUUCCAUGAUGGCCGACGCUCCGGUCGACCGUUUCAAGAUGUAAUGCACUGCCUCGCGCACUUCCCCCCUUGUUACAACAUACCGCCGCGCACCAACAAUUCCCUAAGAAAUUGAAGACGGUUUAAUGCCACGAUCUGCAAGUUACGCGAACGAAAGCGAACUACACAAUGAACCGGCAAACCACUCGAUACACUCCGAAUCCGCGUGACGCGCUGACAGACAGUUUGUGGCGUCGCCGACUCGACGCCAUCGAGAUAUUCGAACACAUGCAACGAUCUUUUGCGGGAAUAUCAGAGAAUUAUCGAUCCAGCGAACCGCCGCGUGAUAGAUUUUUCAAAUGGCUAUGGAACCGUCGAAAAGCACGCAAAUGGAAAGAAUAUUUUGCUCGGAAAUAUCUUCGGAGAGAGAGCGCACGCGCGCAUCAGGAUGAUAAUGGAGUCUGGGUCCUUGAAAACUGAAAUCGUACCCUUUGAAGAAAUCUGGUCAAGCUCUCUUAGAUGGAAGGAGAAUCCCUCUCUACGCGAUUCCAACGAGGAACGCUAUCUUUUUUCCACCAAUAAGAACGAAUCCGACUAUCCCCCUCCAUGGGAGCGUGUCCUUUGUGGGAGACUGGGAAAGAAAAGGGAGGGGAUAAUGGCGGCGAUCUACCUGGACGAUUUUUGUGGCGGGAAUUACGGUGCCUCGACGAGAUCCUACACAACGCUUCACUUCGGGAGAAGAAACCACCUGCCUGGGAAUCGAGUCGGAAAUUUCACUCGUACCAUAAACGCUCAACGUCGAUAGUAAGCUCGUCCAGAUUCAAGAAUUUUUGCUUUCCAAUAUAUGUCAACUAUCCAUUGACAAUAUAACACUGCUAUUUUGUUGUAAAUUCUUUAACCUUACGAACAAAUAAUUGAUCUUCUACAAAGAAGAUUAAUUAAUAAACGCGAUCUUCUGAAUGCAAUACCUGAUAGAAAAAAGCUAAGGCAAAUAAUAUAAUGAUGUUUAAAAUACGUUAGAAACACCAUUAUGUUUUAUACAAGGUUUUUCAGAAGUUGAAUUAUUAGAUAGAAAUGUUGAAUCCUCAAAGAAAAUUGUUAGUUGUGAAACUAUAAGCGUGAUAUAAGAAUUGCUUGAACGUUCUUAUGUAUAAUAAAUGUGAUCGUAUUAUUUUAAAAAAAAUGAGAAUCGUUAAAGAAAUGAAGUUACUUGAUUUAUAAAGGAGCGUUAUAAGCAGCGUUAAAAAACAUGCUUUUCGUUACACGGAAGGCUAUACGUUUCACGAAGAAUUAGAUUCACAGGUAGAAAUCUUACGUCAUUGCUACUAUAGACCAUAGAUCGACCAUAAAGAAUGUGAGACAGUGUUGCCAAAGCGAGUAAAUCAUUGCAAUGCCAAGGUUGAGGUUCCACAUAGAACACAUCCUUAUUACGACAAACAUAACAAAAUUCUACAUGGUUCCAAAGUAAAUUAUCAAAUCGUUCGAAAUUUCAUAUAAUCUAUCUUUCUGUACAAUAAACUUGUUGGAUUCAUAUGUAACCAACCAAUAUAAGAACUUAUGUUCGUACGUGUGUGUCUACACAGAACGAACUGUUUAUUACAAAUUUUAAGAACUCGAAAAAAUAAUUCUUCAAGUGGAGGAAAAAAUAUAUUGUGAUCUGAGGAAUAGUUUCUUGCAUGUAACAUUUCUCAUUGUAUGUUUCGGAGAUUAAUAAAAUGUUUUGGACACUACGAUCGCGACGAAUUUCUAUAAAGACUUCAAUAGAAUUGAAUUAAUUAUUUUAAAACCAACCAACAAUUCCACGAAACAAUUGUACUUUAAGUAAUAGUUUGUACUACUUACACGGAACGUGUAGUUUCAUAAAUCUGGCAACAUUGUCAGAAAGCCAUUACAGGGGUGGAGACCUUUCCCUCUUGAAAGAGAGAAUAAGGGGAACAGGCAGCUUUUGAAAUCAUCAAAGUAGCCUGUUCGAAGUUUAACAAUAGAUCGGCGUAGACCGAAAAUCUGGAGCCUUACUACCAAUCGUGCUCGGUAAAUAUGUGAGGUGAAAUAUCUUCUAAGUAUAUUUAAACGUAAAUAUUACUUAAAAUCGUUAAAAUGUUUUCCUACUUUUUCAAUAACAAUAAAAACACAUACCAAUCACUUACAUAUAAAAAUUGUAUACUAUAUAUAAAUAAAUAAUAUAAUAAAAAUGGUUAAAACAAGCCACAUUUGCAAGCACAUAAAAUACUUGAAUGCAGAUUUCUUAAAGAAUUUUUGAUUGUGUUAUGCUAAAAUCUACUGUAAUUUUAAAAAUAGUUUCAAAAUUUUUAAACUAAGUUUAAGAUUACCAUAGAUUUACAUUCAACUAAGUAUUAAGAGUCAUUGUAUGAUUUUAACUACAUAAUUGAUCAUUAAACAAAAUGUUUAAAAGUAACAGAACUUACCUUUGAUGCGAGACACUGUCCGGUAUUGUAUAUGUCUAACACAUUGUCACUGUUAUAAUAAUGAUAUAACAGUUGCAUGUAAAGAAAAUAUCUAUCGAUUAUAUAAAAUAGAGUACUACAGAUUUCAAUUGUAAUACGUGAAAGGAUACAUAACUGCUUCGUUACUUUGUACAUCGAUUUCCAUAUUUGAUACUGCAUGUUGAACCCCAUUAAUAGAAUCUGUUUUAUCUUUUUUCAAUUUCUCUUUCUCAAAUUUAUGAAGAUCAUCAAGAGUUGGAAUAAUAUUUAGAGACUGCUGAAUACUAUAUACUACCCAUAAUUCUACAAAUGCUUCUUCGUCAAUGCCAUAAUCGUGGCAAAGCUGAAGACCUAAUUAAAAAUAUUCUUUUUCAAAUUCAGGUUGAUCGGGAGCAUCACAGCUUAAAUUACGAAAACACGAAAUUAACGUCUUCUUGGACACCAUAUUGCUUAAGAAACUACGUUCUUCAGGAUUUUCCCGCCAACUCGGCGAAUAGUGCACAUGCGCAGUUUUACCACUCUCCUCCCCUUUCCGCUCUUAUUGUAGAAAUGUAAAUUUCCAUACACAAACUGUAUAUUAUAAGAAACAGAAUUUUGUUUGGAAAAUAAAUAUUACAGUAUUAAGUAUAAAUGCACGUUUUAUUUUUCAUAAAAGUAAUCCAAAGUUGGAAAUUACAAACUAUAACUUUUAACUGUGUAAAUGUUGCAAGGCAUAUACUGUUAUAGCACAUAUAAUAAAAGAGAAAUGUAAUAAGUAAUUUUACCCACAAAUGAAUCAAUUAACUUCAAGUGUAAAAUGUUGUUUAUCUUUUUCCCACAAAUCAAUGAGAGUCUGUGAAGUUUCCGAAGAAGGGAAUCUUUCCAUCCAAGACUGAAUCAAUCCAACAAAAUUGGGUUCAUAAUUCUUCAAUUGUACUGUAUCCGAACCUGUUACAUUGAUGAAACAAAUUAAUAUAUAUUAAUAAAAAAAAUUUUAUAAGGAA